rnacentral:rRNA from 1 species
GACGGAGGGGGCAAGCGUUAUCCGGAAUUAUUGGGCGUAAAGGGUACGUAGGCGGCUGGUCAAGUCUGGGGUCAAAGGCCACAGCUCAACUGUGGGAAGGCCCUGGAAACUGACCGGCUAGAGUGAGGUAGGGGUUGCGGGAAUUCCCGGUGUAGCGGUGAAAUGCGUAGAGAUCGGGAAGAACACUUGAGGCGCAAGCGCGCAACUGGGCCUCAACUGACGCUGAGGUACGAAAGCUAGGGGAGCGAAUGGG